UUUAUGGAGAGUUUGAUCCUGGCUCAGGAUGAACGCUGGCGGCGUGCCUAAUACAUGCAAGUCGAGCGAACAGACGAGGAGCUUGCUUCUCUGACGUUAGCGGCGGACGGGUGAGUAACACGUGGAUAACCUACCUAUAAGACUGGGAUAACUUCGGGAAACCGGAGCUAAUACCGGAUAAUAUAUUGAACCGCAUGGUUCAAUAGUGAAAGACGGUUUUGCUGUCACUUAUAGAUGGAUCCGCGCCGCAUUAGCUAGUUGGUAAGGUAACGGCUUACCAAGGCAACGAUGCGUAGCCGACCUGAGAGGGUGAUCGGCCACACUGGAACUGAGACACGGUCCAGACUCCUACGGGAGGCAGCAGUAGGGAAUCUUCCGCAAUGGGCGAAAGCCUGACGGAGCAACGCCGCGUGAGUGAUGAAGGUCUUCGGAUCGUAAAACUCUGUUAUUAGGGAAGAACAAAUGUGUAAGUAACUAUGCACGUCUUGACGGUACCUAAUCAGAAAGCCACGGCUAACUACGUGCCAGCAGCCGCGGUAAUACGUAGGUGGCAAGCGUUAUCCGGAAUUAUUGGGCGUAAAGCGCGCGUAGGCGGUUUUUUAAGUCUGAUGUGAAAGCCCACGGCUCAACCGUGGAGGGUCAUUGGAAACUGGAAAACUUGAGUGCAGAAGAGGAAAGUGGAAUUC
rnacentral:rRNA from 1 species